AUAUUGGACCCGUGCGUGGGCCUUAGAUUAAACUAGCUUUCUUCCACCUUUUUAUACGUUCAUAUUUAGGGUUUUUUUUCUCAGUUCAAAUUUCGCCGCGAGAAUUACAGUGGUAUUUAAUAGACGUUAUUCCAAGGAGAAGUGAUAGAAUUGCAAACUUGAGCGAGAUAAAUCUACCCAAUUUUUCUGUUUACCCUGUGGUCCUAGCACCAUCUACGAGUGAUGAUCGGUCAUGCCAUUUUUUGCAGCUCGUGGAUACUAAAGAACAAGUUAAGGCCUCACAAAAUGGAAGGCGGAAGUUCAAUCGAUCUUUCAAAGCAUGACUUGAGGUACGUGAUAAUUAUUUAUUUAUGUCGUUUAUGUUAUAUUGUUAUAUGUGGUCAACUACUUUAUUAGUACUGCAUGCAUGAUUAUUAUUAGGAGAAAAGGAAGAACAUGAUUUGAAAUGAAAGAUGUUAUCAAUUAUAUGCAAUGGAUGUGUUAACUUGGAUAUAUAAGUAUGAUUGUUGUUCUUUGUUGAUACGACUGUGUUUUGUGUUUGAUGAUGAGAUCGGGUAGCAUGCGGUAUAUAAUAUUAUUAGAAUGGGUACCACGUUAGUACACUAACAAUUGUAUGUGUGGGUUUCAUGAGAAAAUCUAAUUGUUUCGUUGUAUUGUGAUGGUUCUGUUUAUUGUGCAUGUCAGCUCAAGCGACUAUUUGCGACCUUAACUGUGUUAACUCAAUUAUCUAAAUCAAAGGGUGAGACAUUUCUUCUGGGCGACAAUAGAUUCCUCUUAUUUUGAUAAGCCAUUCAUUCGGACUCAAACAUUUUUUCAUAAUGCGAAUUUUAGUUUCUAGGGAGUUACUUUAGCAUUGUUGGACGAUUAUGGUUUCUUUACUACAAACCUGGUUUAAUAUUUGAAGACUAUUUACUUGAAAAUCUUUUGAACUGCUUACUUUGAUUGCAUUUUAGACUUUGUGUAAGUAGUUGGUUGAUUCUCCCCCCAUAAUUAAUGUGGGUGUCACUCACGGUGGGUCAGAAUCAUGAGAGUUUCCCUCUACCAUUAAACGUCAAUGUCCUAUUUAAUGUAAUCAAUUGUAAUUUAUAAAUAAUCUUAUAUUAUAAGUGUAUAAUGCAAGUAGUUCACAACUAACUUUAACACUUAGAGCAUGUUUGGAUUGACUUAAAAGAUAAAAAAAUAUAUUUUUAAGCUCUUUUUAGCUUUUGGAAUUGUUUGAAAAAUUUAAAAAUAGCUUAAAAUAAGUUUUAAAUGACUUUAAAAAAGUUAAAAAUCCAAAACUAGCACUCCCAUACUUUUUAUUCUUUUACUUAAACGCCAUUCCAGUUUGAUCAAGUAUAUUACUUCUCUACCAGUAUUUUUUUUUAGAUAAUCUCAUAUUUACCCUUAUAAAAUAAAACCCUAACAAUCAAUUCACUUUCCCUAUCCAUUUUUUUUCUUUGAGUUCUUGCGCCACACUAUUCGCUCUAAGGCUGGUAUGGUAUGGUAUUUAAAAACUUGUAUACCAUAAUUUCAUUAUUUGUUUUUUAAAACUACUAUACCAUUGUCCUAUCAAUUUAAUUCGGUAUGAUUUAGUAUUUUCAAUUCGAUUUUAUUUUUAUAAAGUAUGGUAAUCGGUAACUACAGUUUGUUCAAUUUCGACUAAUAUAUAUUCGUAUAAUAGAGAAUUAUAACUUCGUCAAUCUAAAAGAAGGUCUCAAUUGUAUCAUACUAACACAUUACACAUGUAGAAAUAUUUAUUCAAAAUAAAGUACAAAAAAUUUCUUUUGUUAAUCAAUUACAUUUCAAAUAUCAAUUAAAAUAGUGUAGUCAAAGUUUCAUCUUCUAAAUAUUUAGCACCCACUAAUACGAGACUUUUAAAAAAAAGUGACAAUAAGAUUUCAAAAUAAAUUAGUGGUGACAUAAGUCUUAAGUAUAGGGUGCAGGUCAAACAAAUUGCAAAGUGACCCCACGUACAAGGUCAAACAAAUGAAGGCUGAUUUGCAUAGAGUUUUUUAGCUCAAUGUUAGUGAAGCAAAGUGCAAGAGAGCGAAAAAAGGAGAUAUUGGAGAGUUUAGAAGGUAGCUUUGUAGACUCUUACAACAAAUUAGAGGGUUAUGCUACUGAAUUGAGAAGUUGUAGGGUCUGACAUUGUGAUAGAUUUGUCUAAAGAGACACUAUCUAAUGGUUAGAUAAAAUUUCUUAGGAUGUAUAUCUGUUUCAAGGCAAUGAACCUGUGUUUUAAGUCUGGGUUAGAUGGUACGUUCCUUAAAGGAAAGGCUAAGGGACAAGUAUUGUGUGUUGUUGGUCAAAACAGUGAUAACUCUUUCUACCCUCUAGCUUGAUUGUGGUUGACAAAGAGGCUAAGAGGACUUGGACAUCGUUUAUGCAACAUUUGCAACAUUCCCUUGACCUUCAAAAUGGUGAAGGAAUGACAUUCAUAUCAGAUAUGUAGAAGGUGUUGCUUGAAGCAGUAAGGACAGUCUUGCCUAAAGCACAUCAGAGAUAUUGUGCAAGGCAUAUUGAGGCAUAUUGGUGCAGAAGAUGGGGGCAAAGGCGAGCUGAAAAAGUUGCUAUGGUGGGCUGCAUGGUCAUCAUUUACAGAGGAGUUUGAGGACCAACUUCAAGAGACCAAGGAAGUUAAUGGAGAGGCUGGACAAGAUUUAAUAGACAAGUAUCCUCCAAAAGCAUGGUGCAUAGCCUAUUUAGAUACUGUGUGCAAAAAUCAGGCUAUGGACAAUAACUUUACUGAAUCAUUCAAUGCAUGGAUACUUGAAGCAAGGUACAAGCCAAUUAUUGAAAUGUUGGAAGACAUUAGGGUCAAAAUAAUUGAGAGGUUGGCAGCAAAAGAGGUUGUUGUGAAGAAGCGGAAAAAUGAUGGGUUUAGUCCCAAAAGUGAGUUGUUGUUUAAUGAGUAUUUGAAGAUUUCAAAGGUCUGUGAGGUGAGUGGAAAUGGGAUAAUGGCUAUGAGGUUACUGAAGGUGCAGAUAGACAUAUUGUCAACUUAAGAGAAAAAAAUGCACAUGCAGAACAUGGGAUCUGUUGGAAUUCCAUGUCCACAUGUAAUUAAGGCCGCGGAGCACAAAAUAAGGAUAUCAAAAAAAGAAAUCAUUGGUACUAUAGUAAAGAGGCAGCCUUGGCAAUUUACAAACACAAAUUACAACCUUAUGCAUGCUAUUGAACCACCAGAAUUGGUCAAGCUUGUUGGUAAACCUAAGCGAAUGAGGGAAAGAGAAAAGAAUGAAGUUGUUAAGAGGCAAGGAGUAUGGAAGCUAACAAGAAAAGGAAAAGUGAUGACAUGUAGUAAUUGUGAGAACAAAAUCACAAUGCAAAAGGAUGUAAAAAGGCAAAGCAGGGGAAACAACCUACUAAGAAGCAAGGGAAACAACCUGCUAACAAAGGGAAAAAUUCUGGCAGGGGAAAAAAGAGACAGCCUAGGAGAGGUUUAGUUGAUGAAGAUGAAGAUGAAGCUUCUGAGGAAGACAUCAACUGCACAACCCCAUAACCAACACAAGAAAGUCAGUUUGAAUAUGCUUCUUCUAACAGCUAUUUUCAAGUAACUAAGGAUGAUGAUGAAGACCAUAGGCUAAGGCCAAGAUCAAUCUCAGAAAAAAUCUUUUCUAAAAAGAUUCAGAAAGAGACAAAAUCCACAAUAACCAAUUGAGAGUAGAGUAAUAGGCUUGAGAGAUGAUAAAUUUGGUGUUAGUGAACCUACAAAUAUUCCCAUAGCACCAACUGACUUAACUUGGAAUGGACAGGGUGCAUUUACUACAAAUCAACUAUGAAAGUUGAGGCCAAGAAGGGGAUAAUGCUAUUGUGUUGGUAUUGUUUUGUAUAUGUUGGUGCAGUUUUUGCUACUGUUUGUGUAGGUUGGUGCCUUAAAUGAUAUUAAGGCUAAACUUAUUAUUUUGGUAUGUUUUGUGUAGGCUAGUGCCUUAACUUAUAGUUGUAGUUUUGGUUUCACUUUUACUUUUUGUAUAGGCUGAGUGUAUCAGAUAAAACUAACUAUCGUUUUGCUUAUAUAUGACCAAGUUAAUGUUAUAUAUA